CAGUAGCCGCGGUAAUACGUAGGGUGCGAGCGUUAAUCGGAAUUACUGGGCGUAAAGCGUGCGCAGGCGGUUAUGUAAGACAGUUGUGAAAUCCCCGGGCUCAACCUGGGAACUGCAUCUGUGACUGCAUAGCUAGAGUACGGUAGAGGGGGAUGGAAUUCCGCGUGUAGCAGUGAAAUGCGUAGAUAUGCGGAGGAACACCGAUGGCGAAGGCAAUCCCCUGGACCUGUACUGACGCUCAUGCACGAAAGCGUGGGGAGCAAACAGGAUUAGAUACCCCGGUAGUCCCUGUCUCUUAUAC
rnacentral:rRNA from 1 species